UACGUAGGGUGCAAGCGUUGUCCGGAAUUAUUUGGGCGUAAAGAGCUCGUAGGCGGCGUGUCGCGUCGGAUGUGAAAGCCCCGGGGCUUAACUCCGGGUCUCAUUCGAUACGGGCAUGCUUGAGUGUGGUAGGGAGGAUCGGAAUUCCUGGUGUAGCGGUGAAAUGCGCAGAUAUCAGGAGGAACACCGGUGGCGAAGGCGGAUCUCUGGGCCAUUACUGACGCUGAGGCACGAAAGCUAGGGGAGCAAACAGG
rnacentral:rRNA from 1 species